rnacentral:rRNA from 1 species
AUCGAAGCAGUGAACUUAAGCCCCAGUAAACGGCGGCCGUAACUAUAACGGUCCUAAGGUAGCGAAAUUCCUUGUCGGGUAAGUUCCGACCCGCACGAAAGGCGUAACGAUUUGGGCACUGUCUCAACAACAGACUCGGUGAAAUUGUAAUUCCGGUGAAGAUGCCGGAUACCUGCGACAGGACGGAAAGACCCCAUGGAGCUUUACUGUAGCUUGACAUUGGGUCUUGGUACUACAUGUACAGGAUAGGUGGGAGGCUUUGAAACCAGGACGCCAGUUUUGGCGGAGCCAUCCUUGGGAUACCACCCUUGUAGUACUGGGACUCUAACCAUAGGCCAUGAAUCUGGUCUUGGGACACUGUCAGGUGGGCAGUUUGACUGGGGCGGUCGCCUCCCAAAAGGUAACGGAGGCGCUCAAAGGUUCUCUCAGUACGGUCGGAAAUCGUACGUAGAGUGUAAAGGCAAAAGAGAGCUUGAUUGCAAGACAUACAGGUCGAGCAAGGAUGAAAAUCGGACUUAGUGAUCCGGUGGUUCUGCGUGGAAGGGCCAUCGCUCAACGGAUAAAAGCUACCCUGGGGAUAACAGGCUUAUCUCCCCCAAGAGUCCAACAUCGACGGGGAGGUUUGGCACCUCGAUGUCGGCUCAUCACAUCCUGGGGCUGUAGUAGGUCCCAAGGGUUGGGCUGUUCGCCCAUUAAAGUGGUACGCGAGCUGGGUUCAGAACGUCGUGAGACAGUUCGGUCCCUAUCCGUCGCAGGCGUAGGAAAUUUGAGAAGACCUGUCCUUAGUACGAGAGGACCGGGAUGGACGUACCUCUGGUGUACCAGUUGUUCUGCCAAGGGCAUGGCUGGGUAGCUAUGUACGGAAUGGAUAAGCGCUGAAAGCAUCUAAGCGCGAAGCCAACUUCAAGAUAAGAUUUCCCACCGCAAGGGUAAGACCCCAGAAAGACUAUCUGGUUGAUAGGUCGAAGGUGUAAGUGCAGCAAUGUAUUUAGCUUAUCGAUACUAAUAGGUCGAGGACUUGACCAA